CGCGUAGGCGGGAUGGCAAGUCGGUCGUGAAAUCCCUCGGCUCAACUGAGGAACGUCGAUCGAUACUGCUGUUCUUGAGGAUUGCAGAGGAGACUGGAAUUCCCGGUGUAGCGGUGAAAUGUGUAGAGAUCGGGAGGAACACCGGUGGCGAAGGCGGGUCUCUGGGCAAUUCCUGACGCUGAGGCGCGAAAGCGUGGGAGCAAACG
rnacentral:rRNA from 1 species